GGUAGACUUUCAUGGAUGGUCACCGCAUACCUUUCAUGAUGGCUUAGCGACUUGAGAGUUAAGACCCAUUCUUCGUUCACUCUUUUUAUACAACCUGUAGUUUCUUGCUGCUUCAAGAUAUCUAUCUUGCCUGAAAAAUUAUUUUGCAGCCAUGGAUUUUAAGAACUGUAGUCCAUGGUUCAAGCUUUCUGUUCUUUUCAUGUUCUUUUCUCUCAAGUUCCAUCUGUCACUUGCUGCUGAUAGAAUCACUGCAACUCAACCUCUCUCCGGUGACCAGACCAUUGUCUCAGCAAAAAGUUUUUUUGAAUUGGGUUUCCACCGUCCAGGUAACCUCUCAAACUAUUACAUAUGCAUGUGGUACCAUCAAUCACGAGUAUCACAAAAGACCGUAGUUUGGGUGGCAAAUAGAGAGAUACCAAUAUCAGAUAGAUUUUCUUCAGAAUUAAGGAUAUCAGAUGGUAAUUUAGUUCUUUUCAAUGAGUCCAAAGUCCCAAUUUGGUCAACAAAGUUGAACUCUAAUGCCUCAACUUCUGUAGAAGCAGUACUUGGUGAUGAUGGAAAUCUUAUUCUGAAUGGGUCUGGUUCAUCAGUACCUUUAUGGCAGAGUUUUGAUCAUCCAGCCGAUACAUGGCUACCUGGCGCCAAGAUUGGAUUGAACAAAAUUACUGGAGAACCCACACGUCUUAUUUCAUGGAAGAACAAAGAAGAUCCUACACCAGGUCUCUUCUCUCUUGAGCUAGACCCAAACGGAACCAGUCAAUAUUAUAUCCUGUGGAAUAUGUCAAAAAUUUUUUGGACUAGUGGAACUUGGAAUGGGCAAAUCUUUAGCCUAGUGCCUGAAAUGAGACUGAAUUAUAUCUAUAACUUCAGUUAUUUUAGUAAUGCAAGCGAGAACUAUUUCACCUAUUCUUUGUACAAUAAUUCUCUCAUAUCUCGAUUCGUGAUGGAUGUUGGGGGGCAGAUUCAGCAGAUGUCGUGGUUGCUGCCUGCCAAUCAAUGGAAUUUGUUUUGGAAUCAACCCAGAGUGCAAUGUGAGGUUUAUGCUUAUUGUGGGGCGUUUGGCAGCUGCAAUGCCAAGUCCCAGCCCUUUUGUAAUUGUUUGACAGGUUUUGAUCCCAAGUUGGUAGAUGAGUGGAAUUCGGAGGUUUAUUCUGGCGGGUGCACAAGGAAAACAAAUUUGCAGUGUGGGAAUUCUAGUCUUGUUAAUGGGAAGAGAGACAAGUUUAUGGCAAGUCCCAGUAUGGAAUUGCCUGCAAAUUCACAAGUACUGAAUGUGGGAACUUCUCAAGAAUGUGAAUCAAACUGCUUGAGUAACUGCUCUUGUACUGCAUAUGCAUUUGACAACAGCAACAGCAACUGUUCAAUUUGGAUUGGAGAUCUCUUGAAUCUACGACAGCUUGCAGAUGGUGACCCCAGUGGAAAGACUCUCUAUGUCAGGCUUGCAGCUUCUGAGUUUUCAAGCUCUAAAAGUAAUAAGGGAGUAGUUAUUGGAGCGGUUGUGGGUUCGGUGGUGUUGGUAGUUCUAAUUGGUUUCGUUCUGUUUGUGAUCUUGAGGAGGAAGAGAACAAUCAGACCUGGCAAAGUGGUAGAGGGUUCACUGGUCGCUUAUGGGUACAGAGAUUUACAAAAUGCAACAAAGAAUUUCUCGGAGAAACUUGGUGGAGGAGGUUUUGGUUCUGUUUUCAAAGGGAUGUUGCCAGAUUCAAGUGUCAUUGCUGUUAAGAAGCUCGAAAGCAUCAGCCAAGGUGAGAAGCAAUUCCGCACAGAGGUCAGCACAAUUGGGACAAUCCAACAUGUCAAUCUUGUUCGUCUUCGUGGGUUCUGCUCCGAGGGAACUAGAAAGCUGCUGGUUUAUGAUUAUAUGUCAAAUGGCUCUCUUGAUUCCCAUCUUUUCUGUGAAAGAAGCUCUAACGUCCUAGACUGGAAUGCCAGGUACAAUGUUGCUUUGGGGACGGCAAGAGGUUUGACAUAUCUCCAUGAGAAAUGCAGGGAUUGCAUUAUACACUGCGAUAUAAAGCCAGAGAACAUCCUUUUAGAUUCUGAAUUUUGCCCAAAAGUGGCAGAUUUUGGUCUGGCAAAGCUUGUUGGCAGGGACUUUAGCAGGGUACUAACAACCAUGAGAGGGACUAGAGGUUAUCUUGCACCUGAGUGGAUUUCCGGAGUGGCUAUAACAGCAAAAGCUGAUGUUUACAGUUAUGGAAUGAUGCUUUUUGAAAUUAUAUCAGGGAGGAGAAAUUCUGAGCAAUCUGAAGAUGGAACGGUGAAGUUCUUCCCAUCUUGGGUUGCAAGACAAAUAACUGAAGGCGGUGACGUCCUUAGCCUACUAGAUCCCAGGUUGGAGGGUAACGCUGAUCAGGAUGAGUUAACAAGAGUUUGCAAAAUUGCUUGCUGGUGCAUCCAAGAUGAUGAAACACAAAGGCCAUCAAUGGGACAGGUAGUUCAGAUACUGGAGGGAGUCUUGAAUGUGAACCUGCCUCCAAUUCCAAGAUCUCUCCAAGUGUUUGUUGAGAACCAGGAGCACAUAGUUUUCUUCACAGAAUCAUCCUCUAGCCAGAGUUCACAUCAGGCACAAGGUAACACCUCCGCUGCUUCCUCACAGAACAAGAGCAUCACAUCAUCUGUUAGUUCCCAGUCUUAAGAGAAGAUCAAAGCAGCAAGUUGUCGAGCACAUACCUUGGAUUAAGUGUGUGAUUCUACUUUUUGUAUAUAAUGAAGCAGCCUAUAGUAAUUGUAAUAGAUGAGUUUUAUUGUCCUUGCUGUUAUUAACAAGAGUGGCAUGUGUAUUCAAUCAAAGGCCAGUUGGAAAAUCUCAGAAAUGCAACUGGUUAGCUAUGUAUGAUUAUUAUGGUUAGUUUUAGAAGUCUUCCUGGUUCUGUUAUCUACUUAUUUUUGUUGCAUUUUGAUGAAUUUAUUUCUUUGUAUAAUCUAGAAUUGAAAUUGAAAUUCUAUCUAUUUCUACCAAAA
rnacentral:misc_RNA from 1 species